GAUGAACGCUGGCGGCGUGCCUAAUACAUGCAAGUCGAACGCUUCACUUCGGUGAAGAGUGGCGAACGGGUGAGUAAUACAUAAGUAACCUGGCAUCUACAGGGGGAUAACUGAUGGAAACGUCAGCUAAGACCGCAUAGGUGUAGAGAUCGCAUGAACUCUAUAUGAAAAGUGCUACGGGACUGGUAGAUGAUGGACUUAUGGUGCAUUAGCUUGUUGGUAGGGUAACGGCCUACCAAGGCGACGAUGCGUAGCCGACCUGAGAGGGUGACCGGCCACACUGGGACUGAGACACGGCCCAGACUCCUACGGGAGGCAGCAGUAGGGAAUUUUCGGCAAUGGGGGAAACCCUGACCGAGCAACGCCGCGUGAAGGAAGAAGUAAUUCGUUAUGUAAACUUCUGUCAUAGAGGAAGAACGGUGGAUAUAGGGAAUGAUAUCCAAGUGACGGUACUUUAUAAGAAAGCCACGGCUAACUACGUG
rnacentral:rRNA from 1 species